GCUUUUCGAUUGAAACUAUUUCCACACUGAUCACAUGUGAACGGCUUCUCUCCCGUGUGAAUUUUCAUGUGGCCUUUAAGAUAUUCUUUUUGAGUGAAACUCAUCCCACACUGUUGGCAGGUGAAAGGUUUCUCUCCAGUGUGAAUCCUCAUGUGACUCAUAAGAUGUCCUUUUUGAGUGAAACUCUUUCCACACUGCUGGCAGGUGUAAGGCUUCUCUCCAGUGUGAAUUCUCAUAUGGCUUUUGAGGCUUCCAUUUUUAGUAAAACUAUUUCCACACAGUUUGCAGGUUAAAGACUUCACUUCAGUGUGAAUUCUAACAUGCCUUUUAAGGAUUACUUUUUGACUGAAACUUAUUCCACACUCUUGGCAGGUAUAAGGCUUCUCUCCAGUGUGAAUUCUCAUGUGGAAUUUGAGACGUCCUUUUCUGCCGAAACGUUUUCCACACUGUUGGCAGGUGAAAAUUUCUCUUUUUCGUGAAGUCUUUUCAGUCUGUGAGCAACCAAUUGACUUUUC